rnacentral:tRNA from 1 species
GGGGAUGUGGCGCAGUUGGUAGGGUGCUUGCCUCACAUGCACAAGGCCCUGAGUUUAAUCCUCAGCACCACCA